UCACGAUACAGAUUAAAUCAACUUGGAGAUCGAAAUUUUCUCCCUCUUCAACGACAGCCACCACCACCACUACCACCUUCUCCGCCACCCGAUCGGAAAAAUAAUUUUUAUUCUUCUUUUUCCUUCUCUAUUGAUAUUAUCACCACCACCACCACCUCUGCAUUACCACCACUCCGUCGUCAUUUUCACCUCCGUCACAAGAUCGAGUCAAGAGAAAUUUUAAAUCCAGUGAUGAAUCAACGAGAAGUUAGUCUCCAUAACCUAAUCUCAAGCCCAUCAGAAACAUUAAUUUCAUUUUGAUUUCGUUCUAAAACCAAAGAUUUCGACCGGAUUUGGUUUCAAUUUGUAAAAACCUAAAAUGUUAGUUCUUAAAGAUUGUCUGCAUCGAUUGGGAAUAGAUGAUAAAAAUCUCCAUCAGCAAUUGGAUCUGAAUAUUCAAUCAUCAAAAACGAAUAAAAAGGUGUUGUUGCAUAGGUGACGCUGGUUGUUGUGUUUACAUCAGCGGUGGUGGAUAUUGCAUCAUUUUUGUUGGAGCCUGUUGUUGUAGGGGAGGUGAUGGUGGUGGCGUUUUCUGUAGUUAACUGUGAGGGUGAUAAUGGUGGUGAUAGUAAUAUUGGUAUUGGUGUUGGUGUUGUGGAGGUGGUGAUGGCAGACUUUGAGAGGGAUUUUUUUUUAACUUUUAUUACUGAUGCAGGAGCAGCAGUCGAGUGGUGAACGUAGACAGUGACAGCAACUGUGCUAUCAUAGUAACUUUUCCUUGUCAAGAUUGUUCAAGGUUAUAUUAUAAUGGGAGCCAGAUUAUAUGCUAAGAAAUUUAUUGAAGGUUAAGGUUUGGGAUCCCUGGAAAUGCACUACAAUUUAUGGAUAUGAUACCGUUAGUGUCUGUAAUUAAACUUGAAUCCUCAAGGUGUGGUUGUAGUACUACCUUGUGUUUAGCUAAUGUUUUUGUGUAUGUAUAUGAUCUGGUUGUGAAUAUGCAUGUGAAUAUAUUGUCUAACUAUGUUUGCAGGUGGAAUUUUUCUCUUUAUGUGAUUUAUGUAAAGUGGUUUUUGGCAGGGUUGAGGUGUAUUAGACGAACUUGUGGUGUAAUGGUAACACACCUGGCUCCACGUCAGAAGAUGCGUGUUCGAAUCACGUCAGGUUCACUAAUUUUAGUACAUCAAUUUUAUGGAUCAACUUUGGUUGUUGACGCCAGAUUUUGGGAUCAACUUUGGUUGUUGACCCGUUCACUGGGAUCAACUUUCAUUGUUGAUCUCAGUGAAUGGGAUCAACAUCCAUUGUUGACCCAAAAAAGUUGGAGUACUUUUUCACUUAUUGUGUCAACAAAAGAAAUCGAUCAACUUUGGUUGUUGACACCAUCUUUUGGGAUCAACUUUGGUUGUUGACACCAUAUUUUGGGAUCAACUUCGGUUGUUGACACCAUAUUAUGAUGUUAAAUUCGGUUGUUGAGGCCAUAUUAUUUUUUAUUUUUAUUUUUUUGAUUUUUUUUCUUUGAGGAUCAACUUCGGCUGUUGACACCAGAUUUUGGAUCAACCUCGGUUGUUGAUGCCAUAUUGUUUUGUUAUGAGCUUUUGAUUUUUGUUUUUGGGGAUCAACUUCGGUUGUUGACACCAGAUUUUGGGAUUAACUUCGGUUGUUGACGCCAUGUUA